rnacentral:tRNA from 1 species
GGGGAUAGCUCAGUGGUAGAGUUUGUGCUUGGCAUGCAUGAGGUCCUGGGUUCAAUCCCCAGAACCUCU